GUGUCAGCAGCCGCGGUAAUACGUAGGGUGCGAGCGUUAAUCGGAAUUACUGGGCAUAAAGCGUGCGCAGGCGGUUAUGUAAGACAGAUGUGAAAUCCCCGGGCUCAACCUGGGAACUGCAUUUGUGACUGCAUGGCUAGAGUACGGUAGAGGGGGAUGGAAUUCCGCGUGUAGCAGUGAAAUGCGUAGAUAUGCGGAGGAACACCGAUGGCGAAGGCAAUCCCCUGGACCUGUACUGACGCUCAUGCACGAAAGCGUGGGGAGCAAACAGGAUUAGAUACCCUGGUAGUCC
rnacentral:rRNA from 1 species